UACGGAGGGUGCAAGCGUUAUCCGGAAUCACUGGGUUUAAAGGGCGCGUAGGCGGAGAGGUAAGUCAGUCGUGAAAUUUCUUGGCUUAACCAAAGAGACUGCGAUUGAUACUGCUUCCCUUGAAUGAGGUUGAGGUAGGCGGAAUGUGGCAUGUAGCGGUGAAAUGCUUAGAUAUGCCAUAGAACACCGAUUGCGAAGGCAGCUUGCUGGACCAUCAUUGACGCUGAGGCACGAAAGCGUGGGGAGCAAACAGG
rnacentral:rRNA from 1 species